UAAAGGUCAAAUGUGUCUGGCUGGCUAGUAAAAAGGCAUCAAAUGUGUCUGGCUGGCUAGUAAAGGUCAAAUGUGUCUGGCUGGCUAGUAAAGGCCAAAUGUCACUGGCUGGCUAGUAAAGGUCAAAUGAGUC